rnacentral:rRNA from 1 species
CACGUAGGCGGCUAAAUUAGUCGGGUGUGAAAGCCCCGGGCUCAACCUGGGAAUUGCAUUCGAUACUGUUUAGCUAGAGUCUGGUAGAGGGUAGUGGAAUUCCAGGUGUAGCGGUGAAAUGCGUAGAUAUCUGGAGGAACAUCGGUGGCGAAGGCGGCUACCUGGACCAAGACUGACGCUGAGGAGCGAAAGCGUGGGGAGCAAACA